ACCCUCUCAGGGUCGCACCUGGAGAGUUUCCAGUACACUACCAGUCUCGACUACAGGAGGGAGAGUCAAGCAGAAGCCUACCCAAUUCCAUUCCUAGCUUGGACAGUGGCUAGUGAGUGGAAGGCAAUCUGCUACAGGU
rnacentral:snoRNA from 1 species